rnacentral:rRNA from 1 species
UACGUAGGGGGCUAGCGUUGUCCGGAAUCAUUGGGCGUAAAGAGCGUGUAGGCGGCCCGGUAAGUCCGCUGUGAAAGUCGGGGGCUCAACCCUCGAAUGCCGGUGGAUACUGUCGGGCUAGAGUGCGGAAGAGGCGAGUGGAAUUCCUGGUGUAGCGGUGAAAUGCGCAGAUAUCAGGAGGAACACCAGUGGCGGAAGGCGCCGCUCGUGGGCCGAGACUGACGCUGAGGAGCGAAAGCGUGGGUAGCAAACAGG